GAAACAUGUCAGUCAGCUAUUCUCUGUAGGAUUUUUCAGGGGUGGCAGCACCCAUUAUGAAGACAAGGUAGCCUGUUUUUCUCCCACUUCACAAAGAAAAUUCAGUCCUUGAGAGACCUGCAAAAUGGGAUGUGCUAGAGUGUCCUAAGUUUUUUGGCAGGAUGGAUCAUUUGGAACAACCUACCCCCAGAUAUCCAGAUCACCUCUUCUCUAUUUAGAAAUGGAUUUGAAGA